GGAUGUAGACAAUGUCGACAUCCUGAAGACGCCUCAGCCUGCUCUGUGUAAAAAGCUGGAGGCUCUUCUGCGGCAGAAGCGCCUGGCUGCUGCUCUACAUGGAUAGAUUGAACCAGGUGGGGAAAACCAUGUCCUGUCCCCCUCCCGUGGAAUGAGGAGAUGAUGAUCAUCCCUGGAGGAAUCGCCUGAUCCCCUGUGAGCCCUGGGCCUUUUUCCUCAAAUGGCCAAUAAACCCCUUCAGCAAAU